rnacentral:rRNA from 1 species
CCUACGGGUGGCUGCAGUGGGGAAUAUUGCUCAAUGGGGGAAACCCUGAUGCAGCGACGCCGCGUGGGGGAUGAAGGUUUUCGGUUUGUAAAGUCCUUUUAUUAGGGAAGAAAAUGACGGUAUCUGACGAAUAAGCACCGGCUAACUACGUGCCAGCAGCCGCGGUAAUACGGAGGGGGCAAGCGUUACCCGGAUUCACUGGGCGUAAAGGGCGCGUAGGCGGGAGAGCAAGUCAGAUGUGAAAUGCUGGGGCUUAACCAUAGAACUGCAUUGGAAACUGUGAUGCUAGAGUAUGGGAGAGGUAGGUGGAAUUCCUGGUGUAGGGGUAAAAUCCGUAGAGAUCAAGAGGAACACUCAUGGCGAAGGCGACUUGCUAGACUAUAACUGACGCUGAUGCGCGAAAGCGUGGGGAGCAAACAGGAUUAGAUACCCCGGUAGUC